ensembl:lncRNA
UUUUUAACUUUAACUUUAUUCUCUUAUUUUAUACUAACCCAUAGCCUUAUUCCACUAACCCAUUGCAUUAGCAUUUCAUUUUAUUACUUGUGCACUGCUGUCCUGUUGUCUAUUGUUUCUACUGUCACGCACCAACCGCCAAGACAAAUUCCUUGUAUGUUUGACAUAUUUUGGCAAUAAAUGUUUCCUGAUUCCAGAAAUAAAAGAAAGGGAAAGCAGGAAAAUGGUGAGGGGUGGGGGGUGGGGAACAGAACUGUUUCAGAUGCGACAAGAUUCACAAGGUCCAGAUUUUCACUAGAACAAUGGACCUCAAGUCCAAUUUCAACCUCAAAAUAAGAAAACCCAUAUUGAAAGUAUCCCAAAACCAAAUUAAAUACAUUUUUAAAACACUAUUUAACGAUGAUUUUAACCUUACAAACUUUAGCAGCUUUCAACUCCGGUGAAUACACACAAAUCAAUUUUAUCCAAUUACUUUUAGCUUGAAUACUUUUUAAAACACACAUUUCAUUAAAUAUAUAACAGUUUAUCUUGCAUUUGAUGCCAUAAUUAGUCGACCACUCAAAAGCUCACCGGCUCCUCCUUCAGGCUUUAUUCUUUAUUCUUCCUGUGAGUGAGUGAGUUCCUCCAACCCGCCCUGAUCUCCAGAUCGUCUCCACCUGGUGCAUCCGGAUGCUCCUCCCUGGGAGACGUGACCUAAGCGUUGCCUCGACAUUCACAUCACACGCACAAAAGAUCCGCGAUGAAUAAGAUGUGCGGCGUGUUCAGCAGCACGAAACAGAUGAUUGUCAUUAACGCGACGUCGUUGUGUGUUCGCUCCUCAGUUCGCAUGGAUGCUUGGCUGUGGCAGCCUCAUCACGGAUUACUCUGCGUCGCAUUUCUGCCCAUGACGACCUCGUACUUACACGCCUUUAGGUGCCAUAAACCGAUUUUCAUAUUAGUUUGACGUCGACUAUUAAAGAAUAUCGAAUUUUAUGCAAUUUCUGCAUCUGAUCAAUUCUACUGAAAGUUAUUCUUUCAAAGUCUAGCAAAUAGUAUAUUUACUUUUAUUCUAGUGGUACUUUAGAACCAUAGUGAAGCAGCUGCGUUAUGUAUUUUCUUGCUUAUAAAUGAAUAUCUAGAACUAACGUUGGCAUCAUGUGUUUUGCCUGAAACAAAGAGGAGCGACUGACCUUCGUCGGCGUGAUCAAACGAUGGCUGCGACUUCUGUUUGUUUAAACUGGGUUCAGGCGGGAAGGAUCUCAACAUCCGGCCUGAAGACGAGCGACGCCGUUCGACACCAAUUGUUCCAACAAUUCCUGAGUCUGGAAGUGAGGUGUGAAACGAGCGCUGAAGAACCAGCUUUUAGACCUUCGCGGCGGGACGGUGCAACCGGUCAAAUAAAGCCUGAGCCGUGACAGGCUGACCCAACAUUUUUAAUUCAAAUCAAUAAUGCGACAGAAAAGUGGGUUGAACCAUCUGUAGAAAGCUGCUUCCCCUUCCGAUGCUGGUACGGUGCAGAAAACUACAUUUUCUUUUGAGACCAACCCCCCCCAACCAAGUGAGUCGUCUGUUGGUUAGAAAAAGAAAAAAGAAAAGUUCCAUUUGGCAAAGAGGGGAAAGGAAGCAAGUCCGUGGAAAGGCUACAGAGACGCAUUUAAACCGCGGCCUGCAGGUCUGUGCGUCGGGUGUUCUGGAACCUCACGUGGACACUCUGCAGACCUCAGACCAACACUGGCUUUUUUUUUUUUUUUUACUUUGGUCUCAUCUAAAUCAGCAAACCGCCUUCAAAAGUUCAUCGCCUCUUGAAGGCAGACUUCCUAGAGGCGCCGAAUCAAGGACAAAGAGGCCGCACGAGGGUUCGGACUGACAAGACGCACCAAAAAAACAACAACCACGAGCGCGCUGGAAGGUGGCCGGGGAGUUCAGGGGUGCGCGCGGAUCUGAUUGGCUGAGGCUGCGCGUUGGCAACAGUUGCAGCAACCGUUGCCUCACAUUCGGUGUAAUGCGUCUGAACAGAGCCUCACGCUCCAGAACCGCGGCCGAAGCACAACGAGCACCUGGACACCAGGAGCUUCCCAAAGGGGUCGCUUUGUCUUCAGCGGCCUGCUGCCAAGUGCUUCGCUUGGUCUUCAGAACUGGUUCGGCGGCGGCGGUUUAGGUGGGACUCCCGGUUCCCAGUUUGGGCUCCGAUGACGUCUCACUGAAUCCGUCAGAACCCACGCAGCCUUGAUGGAAGGAGGGACGGCGUUUUGGUACAGCGCAGUAAUAAAACCAUCAUGUUACUUCCAUAAUAAAUAAUAAAAAAAAGAAUAAUAAUUACACCCCAUAAAAAAAGCUUGUCAUAUCCUACUCAAUGCAGUGGAAUACAUAAGAACAUUUACAAAUAACUGCAGCAAAAAAUAAAACAGCGUGGUAUUUUUAAAAGUGUGUGAGCAUGCGGCUUAAGAGACUCAGACCGACGGGAUCGGAGAUCUACCGUUGCAUUAGGUAACAGCUGGUUGGGCUUUCUGUGGGAAUUCAUCUUAGUUGUUCCUGUAUACAUUUCUUUUUAUAAAAUAUUUUAUUCAUACAAUCAUUUCUUUAACUAAAAGCAACAUUACUAUUUCAUUUUGAGUGGCAAGAUAUCAGUUGCACAUCAUUUCAAGAACAAUAGUAUAUAAACAAAUGCAGAAAAAAAAAAAUUAUUCUGUAUCCAUUUGAGUAUGUCUCUCAGUUUGUCCCGUGUCUGUACACCUGUCUUGUCCGUCAGUGGUGAGCCAAUAGGAGUAUUGCUGGUCCUGGGGGAGAGGGUGGGGGGGGGGGGGGGGGUCGGUACAGCUCUGAACAAUGGUGUCUCUGCUGGAUGGUCAGCGGGAGGUCCCGUGUGUGGCAGAACAGGCUGGACGUCGGCUGGACGUCAGGAGACCCUCACGCCGGCCCGUUGACAGCCGGCUCCGAGGACACGGCGCUCUGGUCCCGUCUGGGAAGACGAGGCGGGCAAAAGACCACGUCCACUUUUUUGAGUAACGGCAGUAAAAAGGAGGAGCUUAGUGUGCCGGUGGCUGCAGUCGAGACUUACUUGGCCUCCUCGUUGGGGGACAUGUCCUCCAGAGGACCGUUGGGAAGCUCGACACCAGGCCGACACUUCUCAC